UGGGGAAUAUUGGACAAUGGGCGCAAGCCUGAUCCAGCCAUGCCGCGUGUGUGAAGAAGGCCUUCGGGUUGUAAAGCACUUUUGUCCGGAAAGAAAUCCUUUCGAUUAAUACUCGGGAGGGAUGACGGUACCGGAAGAAUAAGCACCGGCUAACUUCGUGCCAGCAGCCGCGGUAAUACGAAGGGUGCAAGCGUUACUCGGAAUUACUGGGCGUAAAGCGUGCGUAGGUGGUUCGUUAAGUCUGAUGUGAAAGCCCUGGGCUCAACCUGGGAAUGGCAUUGGAUACUGGCGACCUAGAGUGCGGUAGAGGGGUGUGGAAUUCCCGGUGUAGCAGUGAAAUGCGUAGAUAUCGGGAGGAACAUCUGUGGCGAAGGCGACACCCUGGACCAGCACUGACACUGAGGCACGAAAGCGUGGGGAGCAAACAG
rnacentral:rRNA from 1 species